GUGAGCGUCGCGUGUGGCUCGAGCGGGCCGCUGGGCUUGGGCGGGAUAAGGAAUUUGUGAAAGCGGCCGCCGGUCCUUCUUAUGGUGAAGAAGAGAAAGGGGCGUGGCCGCCGCUGUCACAGAGACGAACGUGUAGAGGUCGAUCCGCAGGCAGGCCUCCUCGCCGGACCACCGUCCUCACUAGCCCAAGCCAAAUAAGGUACUCACCUUCGUGGUGCUCAGUGGCUAGCCGAUGGUGGUGUACUACCGCUGGUGAGAACUAGGAGAAGGAAGAGGACAGAAAGAGAGAUGGAGCGGCAAGACUACUUGAUCCCAGGUUUCUCCCUCCCUCUCUCUCAAUCUUACUGCCCCUCCCAGGGAUUAGGUUCCCACUUGCGCGUUUUCUCUUGUGAAAGAUAGCUCUUGCAGAUGCAGGACAAGAUAAGAGAGAAGGGGCAAGUUCAGAUUAGCACUCCCCAGCGUAUGUGAGUUGGCACGCUAGGACUUGGGAAAGCUCAGCUCAGCCGUGGCCAUGAUGUGAAUCCCUUCUAAAUUUUCAGAUAAGUUAUUUUCUGAUCAGGUGCAUUUGAUUAAUUGUCCUAUAUAUGAGUGGAUAUUUAGUUCUGGUGAAAGUAUGAUUUAUUGUUCAUAUCAAAAUACAUAUGAGGCUUGGGCUGUAUAAGCACAAGAUUGUGCUGAGCUUUAUUUGUGGCUUGAAAUUUAGAUAGUUGCAUCGAUAAGUUCAUACAUGACAUACAGUCAUAAUCAUUUGCAAAUUUCGUGUCUUUUAAUGUUUCCAAAUAAUUUUCUGCUGCAUAAUGACUUUCCAACGUCCUCAUGUAUUGUGACAUAUAUGUUAAUGUUCAUAAUGAUAUGCUCGGUGCUUAGCAUUAAAGAGGGUGUUUUUCUGGACGAGUCACUAACAUCUCAUGUUCCCAACCAGAGAGGAGGAAAGGCUCGCUCGGCAAGGUCCAUGACAUGCUAGCAUUGGCAAAAUCUAUAAGCAACGACACAUUGCUUCUCUUCGCUGGUUCUUGCAGUAGUACUCAUGUAAAUAUAUUUGACUGAAUGGAGUAGGUCCAGGUCUCAUAUCCGCUCCUCCUUAUGGUGUUGAGAGCUUGUGAGACAUUUGGGUUAGUACAGAUUCAGUUCUUAUUGCCUCUUUUUUCUUACCUUUCAUGAAUUCAAUCUGAUUUGGUGUGCUCGCUAAUUAUACUUCUGGGAAGUUGCUAAUUGCUUGAUUCAGAAUAUUUCCCUCUUUUGUAAAAAAUAGCAUCCAUCUACUAUUUGUGACAUACAUAAGCCAUUGGUAUCUGGUUGGGCUUACUGAAUGUGAUAUUACACAUGGUCAAUACUGGACAUGGUGGAUCAAAGUAGUACAUAAUAUUUUUUUUCUACUUCCAGAUAGGCGCUGGUGGUUUCACAUAUAUGUUCCUAUUGUGCGAAGGGUGUUGUGAGGCUACCAUUGGUUGCAAUAAACAGAAAUUCCUAAUCCUAGCUGACUAUCUUCACUUGAUUUAUUAGUCUCCAGGUUAAAAAAAGAUUUAGGUUAUUUUGCCUCUUUUCUUCCUUAUAUAACCAGAUGGUUAUUUGACGGUUACUACUGCCUCCUGAUUGUUCUAUCCAAAAGUCGCUAAACGUUUGAUCCAGAAAUCCCCAUUUUGUGAAAAAUGUGAUUUAGCUACUUUUUGUUUACAUACAUAAACAUUACUAUCUGUCUUCCUUGCACAUGGUAAAGUAAGUAAAUGAAUUGUGAUAACCAUGUAUGCAGAUAGAAAGGUGUGCAAGAAGCUCGGCUAAAAUCUGCAGCAUUAGGCAGUGUGCGUCUUUGAACUGUCUUUAAACAGCCAAUGCCAUCUUUGAUUAGUGUAUAAUGUUAGUCCGAGUCUCUCUGGUGCAUGCUUUUUUGUGCGAGAAAAUGCGGUAGAUUACCUAUCAAAAAUCUCAGCUUCCACUAUUUGCUGAUAUCCUAUUUCUAGAAAUAUGUUUAGAGCUCUAAAAAGAUUGGAGAAAUCAAGGAGGA